CCCUGACGAAGCAAUGCCGCGUGGAUGAAGAAGGCCUUCGGGUUGUAAAGUCCUUUCGUGGGGGACGAAAAGGCGGUUCCUAAUACGAGCUGCUGUUGACGUGAACCCAAGAAGAAGCACCGGCUAACUCCGUGCCAGCAGCCGCGGUAAUACGGGGGGUGCAAGCGUUAAUCGGAAUCACUGGGCGUAAAGGGUGCGUACGCGGUACGUUAGGUCUGUCGUGAAAUCCCCGGGCUCAACCUGGGAAUGGCGGUAGAAACCGGCGCACUAGAGUAUGGGAGAGGGUGGUGGAAUUCCAGGUGUAGCGGUGAAAUGCGUAGAGAUCUGGAGGAACAUCAGUGGCGAAGGCGGCCACCUGGCCCAAUACUGACGCUGAGGCACGAAAGCGUGGGGAGCAAACAGGAUUAGAUACCCUGGUAGUCCACGCCCUAAACGAUGAAUAC
rnacentral:rRNA from 1 species